rnacentral:lncRNA from 1 species
GUGGGUCGGGAGGUUGCAUUCAUGACCAAAUGAGAAAUGGAGGCGUAGGUAGGUGAUGGUACAGCAGGCGCGCGCGCCGGGAGGGCGGGGGGGGGGGGUUACAUUCAUGAUUAGUUAAGGAAGUGGUAGACGGUAGACCAUCUUGCGGAACAUGAAGCGUUACCGACGAUGUCGACCAGCUCCUGGCUCCAGCCCGAGCUCCAGCUCCAGCUCCAGCGCGUAGACCCUCCGAAGUAGUGUUCCCGUUUGAUAUAAAGCUGCUGCAUAGCCUGACACGACCUAAGUUCGCGGCGGCACGGCGACACUACUACGCGCGACUAGUCGCGAUCUACGGACGCUCGCUGCCCUAAUAGCUUUCCUACAUACCCCGGCGUGUACUCACCUGCGGCGUGGCAUUGGAACCCACGCCGCGUGACGUCCAGACAUCCAUGCAUAGCAAGAAACGGGAGGGCGAGGUGAGAGGCACAAGGCAAAAGCAAAGGAACCUAAAUGCUAUGGCCGCCGCGACGGGAAUGGACGCGCGCAAACGCUAAGUAGGCCACGGAAUCGGACCCAUGCUGGCAUGGGGAGGGGGACUAGGGGCUGCGUGGCGGGGCUCCUAAGAGCUCCCACCACCACGCAACUCUCCGGGCCACGGGGUGGUGGCCCAGAGAGUCGCAGGUGGGUGGGGUGCCCUGCUAUCCUUUGCCGCGUGGACGGUGUGUUUUCCCUGGAAACCCGGCGGCCGUCCUGUUGGGGGCGGCAGUGAACGGCACUCGGCAGCACAGGCACAGGCAUAGGCACAGGCACAAGCACAGGCGCUGGACGGUACGGAACAUGUAGUCGGUCUUGAUGUCGGCGCCAUUACUAUGAUAUGGAUGGUUUCGUGCGCACCAGCCGCUGUGCUCCGGAUAUCGGGCGGCAUCACCCGGCCCGACAUACGCAGAGCAGCAGCGGACUGGUGGUUCUUGGCUUGUCUUGAGGCAUUGCAGAGGUCCGUGCGCUUCCCGGAUGUCGGGGGAAUCACCCGGCGCGACAUACACAGAGCUGCCACGUACUUGCUUCCAUGCCGGGCCACCGAAUGCCGAAGGACCGGGGCAUGUGGGUUCUUAGUCCGCCAUCGCUUACGCACUAUGGCGGACUAAGCGGAAUCGCCGGGUCAGGGCUCAUCCCCCACAUGCCAAAGCCGCAGCGGUCAAUCGCGGGGGGGUUACAUUCAUGAUUAGUUAAGGAAGUGGUAGACGGUAGACCAUCUUGCGGAACAUGAAGCGUUACCGACGAUGUCGACCAGCUCCUGGCUCCAGCCCGAGCUCCAGCUCCAGCUCCAGCGCGUAGACCCUCCGAAGUAGUGUUCCCGUUUGAUAUAAAGCUGCUGCAUAGCCUGACACGACCUAAGUUCGCGGCGGCACGGCGACACUACUACGCGCGACUAGUCGCGAUCUACGGACGCUCGCUGCCCUAAUAGCUUUCCUACAUACCCCGGCGUGUACUCACCUGCGGCGUGGCAUUGGAACCCACGCCGCGUGACGUCCAGACAUCCAUGCAUAGCAAGAAACGGGAGGGCGAGGUGAGAGGCACAAGGCAAAAGCAAAGGAACCUAAAUGCUAUGGCCGCCGCGACGGGAAUGGACGCGCGCAAACGCUAAGUAGGCCACGGAAUCGGACCCAUGCUGGCAUGGGGAGGGGGUGCGCAGUGAGAGCAGUGCGGAAGUGGCAGGCAGGCGUUGUACGGCUGACCGUGCGGGAGCGGCAGGCAGCGCGUGCACUGCUGACAGGCCCCGGUCAGGAAACCCCAAUCCCCACUCCAACCUCCACAAGUCAAAACCUACAAACCACCCCACCCCACCCCACACAAACACCUCCCCAUCACCCGAAACACACACACACACACGCCACACGCACGCACACGCGGCCUCACCUGG